CCUACGGGGGGCUGCAGUAGGGAAUAUUGCACAAUGGGGGAAACCCUGAAGCAGCGACGCCGCGUGGAGGAUGAAGGUUUUAGGAUUGUAAACUCCUGUUGUUAGAGAAGAUUAUGACGGUAUCUAACGAAUAAGCACCGGCUAACUCCGUGCCAGCAGCCGCGGUAAUACGUAGGGUACAAGCGUUACUCGGAAUCACUGGGCGUAAAGAGUGCGUAGGCGGGGUAAUAAGUCAGAUGUGAAAUCCUGUAGCUUAACUACAGAACUGCAUUUGAAACUGUUACUCUGGAGUGUGGGAGAGGUAGGUGGAAUUCUUGGUGUAGGGGUAAAAUGCGUAGAGAUCAAGAGGAACACUCAUUGCGAAGGCGACCUGCUGGAACAUUACUGACGCUGAUGCACGAAAGCGUGGGGAGCAAACAGGAUUAGAUACCCUGGUAGUC
rnacentral:rRNA from 1 species